rfam:Colletotrichum orchidophilum strain IMI 309357 Scaffold_18.1, whole genome shotgun sequence.
ACAUGCGACCACACCCACUGGAGAACUCGGGAUCCCGUCCGCUCUCCCAUCGAUAAAUCAGUGAGGGCCGGAGUAGUAGUCGGGUCGGUGACGACCGGCGAAUGCCCGGUGUUGCAUGUA